rnacentral:lncRNA from 1 species
CCACGCUGCAUUUUGGUCCUCCUCUCCUUCCCAGGAAGAACCGCAUAUCAGAAUCACCCACCACAACAGGACCAAGCGGCGUGGUGACAGGCAGCGGCAGCAGGAGCAGCGAAAUCCAGAUUUCUGGACAUGGGAGGAAAUAUUGGACGGUAAAGGACCCUGGGCACAGCCAGGAGAAUAUCGCCGCCCCAAAGAAGAGCUGGAGGCGGCGAAGGUGGAGAGGCGCUGGUAUGAGGAGGCAGCUCGGCGACGCGGAUGGAAGCCCGAGAGUCAGCCCCAAACAUUUCUUGGGGGAGGAACACAGGGAGUGUAGCAAAGCCAGGUAGGAGACCUUUGCCAACUUCCUGUGCUUACCGGGGGGCUAGAGAGACCGGGCAGGCACCGUGUUAUGCUGUGGAGCGCACGGUGUCUCCAGUGCGGGUGCAUAGCCCGGUGUGGUACAUACCAGCUCCUCGUAUCGAGGAGAGUGGGCAUCGAGCCAAGUGUCAUGAAGCCGGCUCUACGCAUCUGGUCUCCAGUGCGUCUCCUUGGACCGGCUUACAUGGCACCAGCCUUGCGCACGGUGUCCCCGGUUCGCCUGCAUUGCCCGUGCGGGCUAUUCCACCUCGCUGCACUGGCAGGGCGACCGGGAGCAUUCAACCAGGUAAGGUUGGGCAGGCUCGGUGCUCAAGAGCUCCAGUGCGCCAGCACGGUCCGGUCUAUCCAGUACCACCUCCACGCACCAGCCCUCCGGUGGCAGCUCCCCGCACCAGGCUUCCUGUGCGUGUCCUCGGCCCAGUACCACCAGUGCCAGCACCACGCACCAGGCCUACAGUGCGCUUCGCCUGUCCAGCGCUACCAGAGCCUUCCUCCUCUCCAGCGCUGCCGGAGUCUCCCGCCUGUCCAGCGCUGCCAGUCUGCAAGGAGCCGUCAGAGCUUCCUGUCUGCAUAGAGCCGCCAGAGCUGCCAGUCUGCAAGGAUCCGCCAGAGCUGCCAGUCUGCAUGGAGCAAUCAAAGCCGCCAGUCUGCAAGGAGCCGACCAGUUGCGCAGGUCUUCGCAAGGGAA